AGAGCGAACGCUGGCGGCAGGCCUAACACAUGCAAGUCGAACGGACCCUUCGGGGUUAGUGGCGGACGGGUGAGUAACACGUGGGAACGUGCCUUUAGGUUCGGAAUAGCUCCUGGAAACGGGUGGUAAUGCCGAAUGUGCCCUUCGGGGGAAAGAUUUAUCGCCUUUAGAGCGGCCCGCGUCUGAUUAGCUUGUUGGUGAGGUAAUGGCUCACCAAGGCUACGAUCAGUAGCUGGUCUGAGAGGAUGACCAGCCACAUUGGGACUGAGACACGGCCCAAAACUCCUACGGGAGGCAGCAGUGGGGAAUCUUGCGCAAUGGGCGAAAGCCUGACGCAGCCAUGCCGCGUGUAUGAUGAAGGUCUUAGGAUUGUAAAAUACUUUCAACCGGUGAAGAUAAUGACUGUAGCGGAGAAGAAGCCCCGGCUAACUUCGUGCCAGCAGCCGAC
rnacentral:rRNA from 1 species